GGUUUCGUGGUCUAGUGGUUAUGAUUUCUGUCUCACAGUGGGAUUCAAUGUCGCAUAGCGUCACACAGAAGGUCCCCGGUUCGACCCCGGGCGGAACCA